UUUUUUUCCUUUUUGUUCUUAGGUUGAGCGUCACAGAGAACACCUCAUUAACUACAUAAUAUUUUUGAGAAUAACGCCGUUUCUUCCUAAUUGGUUUAUCAAUAUAACAUCUCCUGUAAUAAAUGUGCCAUUAAAAGUAUUUUUCAUUGGCACUUUUCUAGGUGUGGCACCCCCAUCUUUUGUAGCCAUUAAGGCAGGAACAACACUAUACCAACUUACAACAGCAGGGGAAGCUGUUUCCUGGAACUCUCUUUUUGUUCUCAUGAUUCUAGCCAUCCUCUCCAUCCUACCAGCUCUCUUCCAGAAGAAACUGAAACAGAAGUUUGAGUAAUGAUCAAACUGGACCCAAAUUUCCCAUGUUUCAUCUCAGGAUUGGCACUUCUGAUAUUUGUAUAUUUGCUUUUCUAUUGGCUCGUAAGCGUUUUAAAGGGAAGCUUGUGAUGGUAGGAAUUUGAAGACACAUUUGAUGAACACGUGGCCUGGGAGAACUGUGUUCAGAAAUGUACUGCGGACAGUUUUAAACCAAACCAUCAGUGUUCUGCUUUGGGGAGUGAGGAUUAUGUGUGGCCCUCAGGAUGAGGGAACUGAAAACAUGUUUUGCUCUGAUAACAUGCAGAGCAAAUGUUGUACUGUAGACAUGAGCUACAGAUUGCUUUCUAAAACUUGCAAGAAAAAAGAAAUCCCUUAAUUAUUUGCUCAGAUUUUGUAACAUUGUCAACAUUUCUGUAGCCUUGAAUGUGAUCUGAUCUGAGCACACUUCUCAUCAACAUUUUUUUCUUUCUGGAAUUCCAAAAUAAUAGCAUAAUACAAUAACGGUGCUCACUCAAAGUUAUUUUUUCUGAAUAGUUGUGUAAUGUAACUACGAUAAUACAUUCAUCCUGAUUGUUUACUUCUAUUAGUGCUGUAUGGAUUUAAAUACUUGAACCUACAUCUGCUUUACUAACUGGAUUAACAAAGGCAGAGAGUCAGAUCAUUCUGUCUCAUAUUCUAAUUUUUUUCUUUGGGAGGGAAUGUAAGAGAGCAAGCUAGAACUCUUACUGUGCCCAGCUGAUGUUCUAAUGUAACUUUCUUAAUGUUCAUCUUGCCAAUGUUUCACUUGCAUACAUUUAUCCUGUAAAUUCAAGAAAGUGAUCAUAUUUAUAUAAAACUUUAAUUUCAAGUGAAUUAAGGAUGUAUAAGUUUAGUGUAUUACGUUUCUCAAGCAUUAUACAAAGAAUAUACAAUUUUUCAUUGUAGCUCAAUUGGCUAGGAGCAUCAGCUACAUAACUUGGUGCAGUUCUUAUAAAAUAGCUGGUUCCAAAUACUCUCAAAGCAUCAAGUAACAGAAUUUGGUGAACAUACGUGAGAUCAGAAGGAUGAUUCCACUUUCUGGCAGUCGGUAACUGCCAAUGGACAACCAACUACAGUUUAUCUUUAAAAAUAUGCAUAUAACUAUUCACUAAAUAAGGUAUGUGGUACCUCGCCUCGUAUGGUUAUAACUGUUGUAGUCUGUUGUAUUGUCAGUGGAAUCCUGUAAAAUGAGGCCCUGGUCAGCAAGGAACUUGGGUGCGUGUUUAAGUUUAUCCUACUGUAACCAGUGCUGCUUAUAUGCUUUAAGUUUCUGCCCCUGAAGUACCUUGCUGAAACACGAGUUGGCAUGUUAGCAUAUGCUUUAGUUCAAGGAUUGACUUGUCUAUGUCCUCAUGUUAACUCAUCAUACAAUAGAUCAUUUGACUUGUAAGAGAAUAGUUCCAUAAAUGGGAUAAUGUGAAAGGUACUGUACCUCUUUAAAGAAUCUUUUUCUUUUUUAACAUAAUGUUGAUUGACUCAGUUUUAUUGCAGUAUUAUGUGUAAAUAUAUAGUAAAUACUGAUGAAUUAUUUCUGUCUUUUAUUUAAAUCUGGGUUUUAUAUAGGUAACUUCUGUUUACAAAUUUAUUGUAAGCACUUAGCUUCAGGAGUUGUUUUCUUAUUUAGAAUUUACUCUAAAAGUAUACUUCGUUGUCAUUUAAAGCUUAAUGAUUUUUUUUUAAUUGCUGUGAUUCUAAUCUCAGAGCUCAUCUACCUAGAGGAUUUGUUCCAUAAUAAAUAGUAGCUGUUGUGAGCCAAGUGCCCACUGGACUACUGAGUGUGAAAUAGCUGUAGAUUUACAGCCCAUUCAUCUGCAGAGUUAAUUUUUCAUGCAGCUUAACUCAGAAUAAAUUACAUGUUGCCCAGUGGCUUUUUUGAAAUUGCCUCAAUUUUUGUCAUUAACAGAUGCUGUUGUAGAAUUCCUUCAACACUAUGUAAAAUUAAUGUUUUGGUGGAACCUUGACACUAAAGAAGGAAUUAACUUCAUUUUGUAUGAAUCAUGCUAUCACUUGGCACUUUUAUUGAGUUAUGUUUCACUGUGUAGAUGGGAUCAGGCUACAGUACUGAAAAACCUUUUUCAGCUGUAGGCAAAGAUCCCAACACAGUGGCUAAAAGCCUUAAAACCUUAAAAAGGAUGAAAAUAAGGUUAUUUCCUUUUGCAAAACCUUAGCGCUUUUUUUUUUUUUUAACCUACGCCUUCCAUGUUUAUCUUCAGCUUCCAAUGCUCAGGCAGUUCCCUAUCCUAUGAGGACUACUGAAGUAGUUGUGAAAAGGCAGAGAAGUGCUGUGUUGUGGAAUAAGGUACCAUCCCAGUCUUUGUGGAAUCCAGCCAGUAGUCCGAAAGAUAGCCAUAGCAUCUACCAGAAGUAAACUGGCAAAUCAGGAAGGGAUAGUUGAGUUAAACUAUGAAAAAUUAGAGGUGACCUGUCUUUGACAUGUUUAUCUUCUGGAAUUUUAUGUAAAUUAUACCUGCAUGACAUCCUUACUAAAUGCUUCUUGCCUUUUGAUAAUAAAGCUAUUAUAUUAAAUUUCAAA